AGAAGGGCGGAAUAUAAGUGUAUUAUUAUUAUUUUCCAUGCAAAACGGAAGUAUGGAAAGCUCUGCUUGUUCCUUUCGGGGCUUGAAGGAGAAGACGGGAGGAAAGCAAAGGCAGCCCAGGCGUCUUUCAGAGCAGUGUCUAUAUUACGUACGACUUCCCACCAAUGGUUACACCAAAAAAACCGGUCAAAGCAACACAGUGGAGACACAGUGGUGACGGCGAUGGCGGAGGCCCCUUCUCCGAGACUCUCUGCAGACAAGAAAACCCCGCAGCAGCAUCAGCAGUGUCUGGCACCUCCUCGGACGUCACAAAGGGCCGCUUUGUUUCCGGAGAGAGAGGGAAAGAGCCGGGGGAGGCGCAGGACAGGGAUCUGUGUCGGGCUUGGAAAGUGAGCAGCGAGGAAGACAAAGAGGGGAGAGAAAGACCCCCAAAACGAUCCCCCCUCCCCAAAAGCCUUUGCACAAAUACAUUGUUUUCUGGAGAGUCUUGGAAUCACUAUUUUAUCUGUGUGCAAGAGAGAAAGAAAAGAGAAGUUUAAAGGCAGAAGGCAGGGAAGAGAAACCCAAAGGAAGAGGAUCCGCCAAGCAGAGGAGAAGGCAUUCCAUGGUUAGAAAGGAGGAGGAGGCAACUCCACGCAGCAAACGGGUUAAGAGUCAAGGCUCCCUUGGGAAGAACGUCAACACAACGAGCUGGGCUCCUAUCACCACACAACCACACAACCCACACUGACCAUCGAGGAAGGAAGCCCACCAUCGAUAGGCGGGAGGAGGCGCACACCAAGACACACCAAGCAGGAAGCCCCACAAAGCCAAUGCCAUUCUAGGCAGCGUGAACAAGAGACCUUGGAGGUGUCUAUGGACAACGUCGGCUCUUCGGCUUAGAAAUGGAGAUGAGUACCAACCCCCAGAGUGUGAGUAGAUCAAUAGGUACUGCUCCGGCGGGAAGGUAAUGGCGCUCCAUGCAGUCAUGCCAAUGGCCACAUGACCUUGGGGGUGUCUAUGGACAACGCCGGCUCUUGGGCUUAGAAAUGGAAAUGAACACCAACCCCCAGAGUGUGAGUAGAUCAAUAGGUACCGCUCUGGCGGGAAGGUAAUGGCGCUCCAUGCAGUCAUGCCAAUGGCCACAUGACCUUGGGGGUGUCUAUGGACAACGCCGGCUCUUCGGCUUAGAAACGGAGAUGAGCACCAACCCCCAGAGUGUGAGUAGAUCAAUAGGUACCGCUCAAACGGGAAGGUAAUGGCGCUCCAUGCAGUCAUGCCAAUGGCCACAUGACCUUGGAGGUGUCUACGGAUAAGGCCGGCUCUUUGGCUUAGAAAUGGAGAUGAGCACCAACCCCCGAAGUGUGAGUAGAUCAAUAGGUACUGCUCCGGCAGGAAGGUAAGGGCGCUCCAAGCAGUCAUGCCAGUGGCCACAUGACCUUGGAGGUGUCUAUGAACAAUGCCGGCUCGUCGGCUUAGAAAUGGAGAUGAGCACCAACCAUCAGAGUUGGACACGACUGGACUUAACGUCAGGGGAAACCUUUACCUUUUUUUAAAUUAUUAUUAUUAUUAUUAUUAUUAUUAUUAAGUGGAUUAUGAUAUAGAAGUGAAGAGGGGGCUGGCAGACAGAGGCACAGAGCGCAACUUUAAGACCCAGAGGCCAUUGGGAAGCCAGGCGUAGAGCGACUCGAAAGGGGAAGCGAGAGGAAAGGUGUGUCUACAUGCUGGCGGGCGGAGCAGGAGGCAGUUGGGUGCGCAGUCAAUGAUCCUCACUGGCUCCCAACGCAUCCUGACCAAAACCUAGGGUGUCCCGCCCCACCCGACUCCGCCACAGCACACAAGGCAGGCGCAAGCAGCGGCCGACACACAACCCGCCCCCGCCAGCGGUAUUUACAUGGAGGUCAUGUCAUUGAGCGCGUGGUCCAACUCCUCGCUAAUGGCUUUGUACUUCAGUUUCUGGGCAUAGAGUUCGUCUAAAACAAAGGCAGUGGGAGAAACCAGGAUGGAGGGGCCUCCCAAAGCACUCACAACGAUAUGGGGUUUGGAUGGGAACCAAGGGGGGAAAGGGCCAGGGAAGGUCUGCCAUCUGACUCGGCCCCCCAGGGAAGCCUCGCCCAGCCCUGCCUCCCCGAAUCAAAGCAGCCUUGUCCUUUACAAACUGUUUCAUGGCUCUGAGAUAUUUGCAUCGGACAAUGAUGUUCAACAAAAUAUGCCCUCUAGGCAUCUUCUACAUCCUCCAUCACAAUUCUAUGGCAUUCCUGAGCCAGGCGUCCUUCAGUUGCAAUAGGGUUCUAAAUUACAGUGCUCCCUCAUUGUUUCUGUUGGAUUUUUGGUUGUGUGUAUAUGAAAUGUAAAUCAAGUGUUUCUGCUGUUUUGCAAGCACAGUAGAGUCUCACUUAUCUAAGCUAAACGGGCCAGCAGAAGCUUGGAUAAGCAAAUAUCUUGGAUAAUAAGGAGGGAUUAAGGAAAAGUCUAUGAAACAUCAAAUUAGGUUAUGAUUUUACAAAUUAAGCACCAAAACUUCAUGUUAUACAACAAACUAGCUGUGUCCGGCCACGCGUUGCUGUGGCUAGGACUUAAUUUUUCUUUUCUUUUUGUUGUAUGAACAUAGAGGCGUGGAUGAGAGGUUGUGCUGUCAAUUUUCGAGGUUGUGGGGCAUUUAGUUUAGUUGUUUUGUCCGGUGCCGUGAUUCCAUUACCCUUUUAUAUAUAUAGAUUGGACAGAAAAAGUAGUUCAAUACGCAGUAAUGUUAUGUUGUAAUUACUGUAUUUACGAAUUUAGCACCAAAAUAUCACGAUAUAUUGAAAACAUUGACUACAAAAAUGGCUUGGAUAAUCCAGAGGCUUGGAUAAUUGAGACUCUACUGUAUGUGUUUCAGCAAUGAAACAGUUAACAGCAGGCCAGUUUGACUGACAGCCUGCUGUGACCUAUCAGGCAUGAUUUCCGGCCUUGGAGGUCGGAACUUCCUUCUGACUAAGGAAUGUGUCUUCUUAUCUUUGUUGUGCCGAGCCGAAGAAUGCCGGCUUCUAGUGAUGGACUUUGCUGCAAUUGUAAAUAUCUCUGUAAAUAUUAAAUAAGUGUUUGAACUUCA